UACAGAGGUCUCAAGCGUUGUUCGGAUUCAUUGGGCGUAAAGGGUGCGUAGGUGGCGCCAUAAGUCAGGUGUGAAAUCUCGGGGCUCAACUCCGAAACUGCACUUGAUACUGUGGUGCUCGAGUACUGGAGAGGAGAUUGGAAUUUACGGUGUAGCAGUGAAAUGCGUUGAGAUCGGAAGGAACGCCCGUGGCGAAAGCGAGCCCCUGGACGUCUACUGACGCUGAGACGCGAAAGCCAGGGGAGCGAACGGG
rnacentral:rRNA from 1 species